rnacentral:lncRNA from 1 species
ACAAGCUACUACUCAUUUUUUCAGUUUUUUUUCCUUCCUUUGUCCAAAGCGGGACCCACAGUGACUUGUCUUCAAACUCACUUUUUUCAAUGUUUAAUGAAUUAUUGUUUUCAGUGUUUCUUGUAUUAUUAUCUGCGGAUCAUUUCUGUACGAAAAUUAAUGUAACUAAAGAAAACUCAAAUGGAUCUUGAAAAUACAUGCAUGCCUACGUACGUACGUGUGUGUAUAUAUAUGUCUAU